AGAAAGAGCUCGUGUUAGCAGCACCUGGGGGCAUCUUUGGGUUGGUGUCAUAUUUCAAAAUUGGGGCCAGUGUACCUGGACCUUUUCUGGCACAUCGUGCAUCACGAGUCUGGCACGGCACAGGGAGCCAGGAGGGUCACAUGACUGGAGGCCUCAGAUCUUGCAGCGGUGAUCGGAGUAUUGAUAAGGAGCUGUCAAAACAGAGGCAACAUGUGCUAUUGGGUCAACCAGCGUCUCAGCGGGAGCCGGGCGCAGGGAUUUCUGGGUAUUUCCAAGGAUACACUGUUACCUGAGGAGGAGGUCAGGAAAUCAAUAUAUGAAAUAUGUCAAGAGAGCCAACGGGAACACGAAGCUUCAAUAUUGUGUUUGUAUUUCUAAGAUGAUGACAUUUCAGGACUGUAUGUGAGUUCAAACACCGACUCAUUCUUUACCUAUCUCUCUCAUCUCAUCUCUGAAUCCACAGAGUGCAUCACAUCAGCUGUAGUGUUUGUGCUUUCAUGAAAAUCCAUAUAUACUC